GUGAACGCUGGCGGUAGGCCUAACACCUGCAAGUCGAACGGCAGCACAGUAAGAGCUUGCUCUUACGGGUGGCGAGUGGCGGACGGGUGAGGAAUACAUCGGAAUCUACUUUUUCGUGGGGGAUAACGUAGGGAAACUUACGCUAAUACCGCAUACGACCUACGGGUGAAAGCAGGGGAUCUUCGGACCUUGCGCGAUUGAAUGAGCCGAUGUCGGAUUAGCUAGUUGGCGGGGUAAAGGCCCACCAAGGCGACGAUCCAUAGCUGGUCUGAGAGGAUGAUCAGCCACACUGGAACUGAGACACGGUCCAGACUCCUACGGGGGGCAGCAGUGGGGAAUAUUGGACAAUGGGCGCAAGCCUGAUCCAGCCAUACCGCGUGGGUGAAGAAGGCCUUCGGGUUGUAAAGCCCUUUUGUUGGGAAAGAAAAGCAGCAGGUUAAUACCCCGCUGUUCUGACGGUACCCAAAGAAUAAGCACCGGCUAACUUCGUG
rnacentral:rRNA from 1 species